rnacentral:rRNA from 1 species
UGGGGAAUAUUGCACAAUGGGGGAAACCCUGAUGCAGCGACGCCGCGUGAGUGAAGAAGUAUUUCGGUAUGUAAAGUUUUAUCAGCAGGGAAGAAGAUGACGGUACCUGACUAAGAAGCACCGGCUAAAUACGUGCCAGCAGCCGCGGUAAUACGUAUGGUGCAAGCGUUAUCCGGAUUUACUGGGUGUAAAGGGAGCGUAGGUGGCAAGGCAAGCCAGAAGUGAAAACCCGGGGCUCAACCGCGGGAUUGCUUUUGGAACUGUCAUGCUGGAGUGCAGGAGGGGUGAGCGGAAUUCCUAGUGUAGCGGUGAAAUGCGUAGAUAUUAGGAGGAACACCGGAGGCGAAGGCGGCUCACUGGACUGUAACUGACACUGAGCUCGAAAGCGUGGGGAGCAAACAGGAUUAGAUACCCU